CUCCGGAAAGGAAAGGAAACCUCUUCGAUCCAGAGAGAACGGAUCGGGGUUGCGGGCGACGCCGCUGCCGCGCCGUCUUCGCGUCUUCUUCUGAAUGGAUCCAGCCAAAGCGCGCAGGAUCCUCCCCUUCCCUUUACCCCGGCGAGGCAGCCAGGGAGACGGCAAAGAGGUUGGUGAGGACGGAGAGAUCCCCUCCCCGCAUGGCGAUGGUGGGCAUGAGGCGACGCCUCCAGUUCCUGCAACGUUGAGGCCUCUCCGCCAUCGCGAUCUGUAGAACGAAGCCCAUCCCGAACACCAGUCGUAGGAUGAAGGGAUUGUUCAGGGAAUGGAUCGUGGUGCGCACUUGCGCUACAGAGGGAUUGUUCAUCUUCCUGGAGGAACUUCUAUCUGUAGGGACGUCACCUUGUGCUAUUGAAGGAUACUGAGAAGAAUUUUUUUUUCUUCAGAGAGAAGGAUACCGAGGAGAUAUUUGAUUCCAAUUGGUCUAAUUGUUGUCGGUGUUCCCCCUCAUGAUAGCUCCCGCAUUCUUGAUGAAUUAAGCAUGGAAGGAUGGAAAAUCUGGAUGAAGGCCAUAGUAUUGCAGAGUUCCAGUCAGAUCCUUGUUUUAUUAUUCGUCUUUUGUAGAUUGAAUUCAACUACAUUGAGACAGCACAUCAGCCGUGGCACAAUAACAAAUGGCAGCAGAGGGUUCCCACCUUGAUGAUUUUUCUGUGUAACCAAUCUAAAUAUUUAAGUGUUGUUAUAUUGGCAAAAUAAAGGCAAGUCAUCCAUAUCUUUGAAUUAUUCAAUUUCCGAUAUCUUCACGCUUCCUUGUUUCCAUAUUUUUUUUUCAGGUUUGAGAGGAGCCAUUUGUGUGCAAUAGUUGCUAUUGGUAUUCGAAUUCGCAUAUAGAUCUGAGAGUUGUGCCAUGGUUGUCAUUUUCGGAGGGCAAGUUUGUCUAACUUGAUAUGGGCAUGGAGCCAUCCUUGGGGAGCCAGUCAACCUGGUCCAGCGCAUUGUUGGUAGGCUCGGGGUUAUCUGGGCAUGGUAGACCGCCUCAAGGCCUUCAAGGGCUCCAUCGACCUCCAUUCAGGGAUGUCGCGGGUAUGGCGGUCAGCAGCGGCAUGGGAGGUCGUCGGCCAGCAGGAGUGCGGUACGCUGGGGUGGCCCUUCCCGUUCAUAUACCAUAUGGUAUAGAUCAGCAAGCGAUCAGUGGCUCGAACGAUUUCUUAUGCCCACAGGUUUGUAAAGUGUCCCUUUUUUGUUUGUGCAUAGAAUUGAUCCGCCCGAAAUGUUUUACGACUUAAUAUUGUAAAAUUAGCGGCGAUUCUUUUCUAUUAUGCCAUGCAACUUCCCGACUUUAUUCAUUUGUCACAUUUCACUGUGCAUAUGUAACUCUUUUACAUGGAAAACUAUUUGUGUGCAUUUUAGUUUGUAUUGGCUACUUUAGCUUUUCAUCAAAAACAAAUUAUGCUUUCGUGUCUGCCCCACCUCAAUUAUUCUCCGUCCUCUGCCACUGUAUAUAUUUGAUUAUUUUCAAUAUACGACAAUUAGUUUCACUCGAUCAUACCAUAUGAUGUUGCAAGAUUGACAAAUUUUACAUGCUCCUAUGUAUGGCGUGGAGCGUUUCAGUUUUUCUUAGUACACUUUCCCUGUUUUGAGGAAGCACCACAUAAAUAGAACUUGAAGAUAGUAGUACGAGUAUUUCACAGGGUUCGUGUGUUGCAUCUAACAAGUUAAAAUAUCAACAUUAAUGUCGAUUCUCUUAACAUAUACGCAUUCUUUUAGGAGAUUCAUGCUAAUUUUCAGAUCAUGUGGUCACAAAAGCAUUGAUCCAAAAUCAUAAUAUUUGGCUACUCAAAGCGGGUGUGUGAUCAGCUGACCCAAGACCUAUCUUGGCCAUUAAAGGAACAGUUGUGUCAUUGUUGCAGCAACUUCUGCGAAAUUUCCACAUGCCUGAGAUGCUUGGCGAACUGAAUCUCUGCAUAUAAACAGUCUGUCAUGCUUGCUUUGGUGGUAGGAGAAAGAGAUGAAAUAUUUGUGUUAAUGCUAUCAUGUUCAGAAAUCUCUCCUUCCUCUUGUCUUUUUUACUUUGAUAAAUAUUCGAUGUUUAUUGUCCUAAAGCUUGUAAUGGUGUGGCUCGCGCACUAGCUACCUCAGAUUGGUGCUGCCCAGGAACAUGUAAGCCUAUGUAGCUGUCAAUUUGUCUAGCUUGUCCCUUGAUGAAAAAUGUUAUAUCUCAGUAA